rnacentral:rRNA from 1 species
UACGUAGGGGCCAAGCGUUGUCCGGAUUUAUUGGGCGUAAAGAGCUCGUAGGCGGUUCGGCAAGUCGAAUGUGAAAUCUCCACGCUCAACGUGGAGGGGUCAUUCGAUACUGCCGUGACUCGAGUCCGGUAGGGGAGUGUGGAAUUCCCGGUGUAGCGGUGAAAUGCGCAGAUAUCAGGAGGAACACCGGUGGCGAAGGCGGAUCUCUGGGCCAUUACUGACGCUGAGGAGCGAAAGCGUGGGGAGCGAACAGG